rnacentral:rRNA from 1 species
GAUCGCGGCGACGUGUGCGGUUCGCUGCCCGCGACGUCAUGAGAAGUCCACUGAACCUUAUCAUUUAGAGGAAGGAGAAGUCGUAACAAGGUUUCCGUAGGUGAACCUGCGGAAGGAUCAUUG